rnacentral:rRNA from 1 species
UACGGAGGGUGCAAGCGUUAAUCGGAAUUACUGGGCGUAAAGCGUGCGCAGGCGGUCUUGCAAGACAGAUGUGGAAUCCCCGGGCUUAACCUGGGAACUGCAUUUGUGACUGUAUAGCUAGAGUACGGCAGAGGGGGAUGGAAUUCCGCGUGUAGCAGUGAAAUGCGUAGAUAUGCGGAGGAACACCGAUGGCGAAGGCAAUCCCCUGGGCCUGUACUGACGCUCAUGCACGAAAGCGUGGGGAGCAAACAGG